AGGAAAAGAAACUAACAAGGAUUCCCCUAGUAACUGCGAGUGAAGCGGGAAAAGCUCAAAUUUAAAAUCUGGCGGUCUCUGGCCGUCCGAGUUGUAAUCUAGAGAAGUAAUGCCCGUGCUGGACCGUGUAUAAGUCUCCUGGGAUGGGGCGUCAUAGAGGGUGAGAAUCCCGUCUUUGACACGGACUACCAGUGCAUUGUGGUAUGCUCUCAAAGAGUCGAGUUGUUUGGGAAUGCAGCUCAAAAUGGGUGGUAAAUUCCAUCUAAAGCUAAAUAUUGGCGAGAGACCGAUAGCGAACAAGUACCGUGAGGGAAAGAUGAAAAGAACUUUGGAAAGAGAGUUAAACAGUACGUGAAAUUGCUGAAAGGGAAACGCUUGAAGUCAGUCGCGUUGGCCGGGGAUCAGCCUUGCUUUUGCAUGGUGUACUUUCUGGUUGACGGGUCAGCAUCAAUUUUGACCGCUGGAAAAAGACCUGGGGAAUGUGGCAGCUUCGGCUGUGUUAUAGCCCCUAGUCGCAUACAGUGGUUGGGAUUGAGGAACUCAGCACGCCGCAAGGCCGGGUUUCGACCACGUUCGUGCUUAGGAUGCUGGCAUAAUGGCUUUAAGCGACCCGUCUUGAAACACGGACCAAGGAGUCUAACAUGCCUGCGAGUAUUUGGGUGGAAAACCCAAGUGCGUAAUGAAAGUGAAAGUUGAGAUCCCUGUCGUGGGGAGCAUCGACGCCCGGACCAGAACUUUUGGGACGGAUCCGCGGUGGAGCAUGUAUGUUGGGACCCGAAAGAUGGUGAACUAUGCCUGAAUAGGGUGAAGCCAGAGGAAACUCUGGUGGAGGCUCGUAGCGAUUCUGACGUGCAAAUCGAUCGUCAAAUUU
rnacentral:rRNA from 1 species